rnacentral:rRNA from 1 species
CGGGACGGGUGAGUAACGCGUGGGGAACCUGCCCUAUACAGGGGGAUAACAGUUAGAAAUGACUGCUAAUACCGCAUAAGCGCACGGAGCCGCAUGGCGCUGAGUGAAAAACGAUAGUGGUAUAGGAGGGACCCGCGUCUGAUUAGGUAGUUGGUGAGGUAACGGCCCACCAAGCCGACGAUCAGUAGCCGACCUGAGAGGGUGACCGGCCACAUUGGGACUGAGACACGGCUCAAACUCCUACGGGAGGCAGCAG